rnacentral:rRNA from 1 species
GCUUCGGCCUUAGUGGCGGACGGGUGAGUAACGCGUAGGAAUCUAUCCAUGGGAGGGGGAUAACUCCGGGAAACUGGAGCUAAUACCGCAUGAUACCUGAGGGUCAAAGGCGCAAGUCGCCUGUGGAGGAGCCUGCGUUUGAUUAGCUUGUUGGUGGGGUAAUGGCCUACCAAGGCGAUGAUCAAUAGCUGGUCUGAGAGGAUGAUCAGCCACACUGGGACUGAGACACGGCCCAGACUCCUACGGGAGGCAGCAGUGGGGAAUAUUGGACAAUGGGGGCAACCCUGAUCCAGCAAUGCCGCGUGUGUGAAGAAGGUUUUCGGAUUGUAAAGCACUUUCGGCGGGGACGAUGAUGACGGUACCCGCAGAAGAAGCCCCGGCUAACUUCGUGCCAGCAGCCGCGGUAAUACGAAGGGGGCUAGCGUUGCUCGGAAUGACUGGGCGUAAAGGGCGUGUAGGCGGUUUGUACAGUUAGAUGUGAAAUCCCCGGGCUUAACCUGGGAGCUGCAUUUAAUACGUGCAGACUAGAGUGUGAGAGAGGGUUGUGGAAUUCCCAGUGUAGCGGUGAAAUGCGUAGA